rnacentral:rRNA from 2 species
UAAUGCAUGCAAGUCGCACGGAGCUUCGGCUCAGUGGCGGACGGGUGAGUAACACGUAGGAACCUGCCCGGAAGUGGGGGAUAACUCCUCGAAAGAGGAGCUAAUACCGCAUGUGGUCUACGGACCAAAGCAGCAAUGCGCUUCUGGAGGGGCCUGCGGUGGAUUAGCUAGUUGGCGGGGUAAUGGCCUACCAAGGCGACGAUCCAUAGCUGGUCUGAGAGGACGGCCAGCCACACUGGGACUGAGACACGGCCCAGACUCC